rnacentral:rRNA from 1 species
GAUGCCAAUAGGUUGUUGGGGAAGGAGACUUCCUUAGUACCGUAGCUAACGCGUGAAGUUGGCCGCCUGGGGAGUACGGUCGCAAGAUUAAAACUCAAAGGAAUUGACGGGGACCCGCACAAGCGGUGGAUGAUGUGGAUUAAUUCGAUGCAACGCGAAAAACCUUACCUACCCUUGACAUGCCAGGAAUCCCGGAGAGAUUUGGGAGUGCUCGAAAGAGAGCCUGGACACAGGUGCUGCAUGGCUGUCGUCAGCUCGUGUCGUGAGAUGUUGGGUUAAGUCCCGCAACGAGCGCAACCCUUGUCAUUAGUUGCCAUCAUUUAGUUGGGCACUCUAAUGAGACUGCCGGUGACAAACCGGAGGAAGGUGGGGAUGACGUCAAGUCCUCAUGGCCCUUAUGGGUAGGGCUUCACACGUCAUACAAUGGUCGGUACAGAGGGUUGCCAAGCCGCGAGGUGGAGCCAAUCCCAGAAAGCCGAUCGUAGUCCGGAUCGGAGUCUGCAACUCGACUCCGUGAAGUCGGAAUCGCUAGUAAUCGUGGAUCAGCAUGUCACGGUGAAUACGUUCCCGGGUCUUGUACACACCGCCCGUCACACCAUGGGAGUGGGUUUCACCAGAAGUAGUUAGCCUAACCGCAAGGGG